GGUUGGUCCGCCAUCAUAAUCACUCGUGUGGGUCUGUGCUUGUGUGGUUUGGGUGUCUUUACCGGUGCCAACCUUUAUUUUUAAUUAGUAGUAAGGUAUGCGUAUGAAUCCAGACAUGGACGAUGAUGAGAAGGGAAAACUAUUUGUUGGAGGACUAUCAUGGGAAACAUCCCAAGAGAACUUGCAACGCUAUUUCUCACGUUAUGGCGAAGUGAUCGACUGUGUCGUCAUGAAGAAUAGCGAGUCAGGACGUUCGAGGGGCUUUGGUUUCGUGACAUUUGCUGAUCCUUCACUGGUCAACCUCGUGCUACAGAAUGGACCUCAUCAACUUGAUGGCAGGACCAUCGACCCUAAGCCGUGCAAUCCUCGCACUCUUCAAAAACCGAAACGUGGCGGUGGAUACCCUAAGGUGUUCCUUGGCGGGCUGCCAUCGAACGUUACCGAAACCGAUCUCAGGGUAUUUUUCGGACGCUAUGGGAAGGUCAUGGAGGUGGUCAUUAUGUAUGAUCAAGAGAAGAAAAAGUCUAGGGGUUUUGGAUUCUUGUCUUUCGAGGAUGAAAUUUCUGUUGAGAGAGUGACCCAAGAACACUUCAUUAAUCUCAACGGGAAGCAGGUUGAGAUAAAGCGCGCUGAGCCUCGAGACGGGUCUGGCAAGCUCGGGUCGGGAGGCGGCGGCAUGGGCGGCGGCGCCAUGAACGCGCCCGGGGACGCGCCCGCCGCCGGCCAGUGGGGGCCGCCCGCCGCGCCCAUGAACAUGAUACAGGGACACAACGGACAGAUGGGAGGACCGCCCAUCAACAUGCCCAUGGCAGGCCCUAACAUCAUGCAAGGGUACCAGGGCUGGGGCACGUCGCCGGGGCAGACGUCGUACGCGGGGUACGGCGCGGCGGGCGCGGGCGCGGGGCCCGGCAACUACCAGGGCUGGGGCGCGCCGCCCGCCCCGCAGGCGCCGCCGCACGCGCCCGCCUGGCCCGCCACCAACAACUACACGCAGCACGCGCAGCCGCCCGCGCAGUCCUACGGCAGCUACGCGAACUAUAGCUCCGGGCCGGCGGGCGCCUCGGCCGGCGGCAGCUGGACCAACUGGAAUAUGCCCCAGAACUCUAACUCUACUGGUUCUGGGUCGUACGUGCCGCUGUCGGAGGGCGGUGAGAUGUACGGUCGCGGGGGCGGUGCGGCGGCGGGCGGCGCGCCCCUCACCACGCCGCUCUCCUCGGCCGCGCUCUCCAAGUCCUCCUCCGCCGACUACUCCGCCUACCAGCAGUACCCGCCCGCCUACCAGCAGGACCAGUUGGUCGAUCAGGGCCCACAAGAGUGGCUCCUCCAGAAAGACAAUUAGAGAUAAGGGCGGGUAUCGGAUGAGGGGAUGUCGCGAUACGCUGGGGAUUUCUCACUAUGGACUGUUCCAUUGUCGCGACGAUAGAGCGCGCUCAUCAAAAAGGCAUCGCACCGCACUAGAUAUAAGCUUACCCUUAGUUCGCGUCGCGCCAUGUUGUAGCCGCGAGAGAUGAACCGCUCGCAUUGUUUCAUCUCGAGCACUUGUGUAAAUUGGCAUUUAAAGUACAAAUUAGUAAAAUUUGGAUUUUUCAUAUUGUUACAGGUUCAUAAUAGUUAACUUUAUCUAUAAAAAAAUAUAAUUAAGAGCUGUACUUUAAGUGUUCAGAGAUGAAAUUUAUUCCUUCGAAUGUAAUCCAGAGUACAUUAUUUACAAAAUUGUGUUAUAAUUAAAUAUUGUUGAGAGGAACAAAUGAGGGUUCGCACCGAACGUGAGUCCGUGCACACUUCAGUGCAGCCCUAUUUAGUUCCUGCAGGCGCGUUGACUUCGAGUGUUUGGCUUUAAGAGUUUAUAUGUUAUAUCCCGCACGCCCGACCUUAACCAUAUCGUAGAACCGUCGGGUUUUUGUGAACGCUUCUCCCGUUAUAUUUAGAAGCAUAGAGAUGCCUUAACUAGUACACGUAUCAUUGUUGUUGGAACCUCGAAGUCGACUCGUCUGAACCCUCGCGGUGGGCACUUGAAAGUACAUGAACAGAUCACCUCUUAGUAUUGUAACAUUUGUUUGAUCAGUUAAGCCGCGCGUCUAUUUCGACACAAAGCAAUAAUGUUACACUACAGAAUGAUGAGACGAUCCCGAUCAACUAACUAGACGGGCAUUUGCGGCCGUCACUGAUUAACUCCCGCCUCGGGUGACCGCGACCACUCGCUGUAACUAAAUGUGUUGUUUGGUCGGCAAAAGCCCGCUAGUCCUCAUUGCGUAGGCGGCGAUGCUGAUUUACGAAUGACGCCAUGUAUUCACUGAGAAAUGCGUAUAAACAUUAUAUACAUUAUUUAAUAAACGGUACAUAAUAUCGAUCAAACAAGCUCGCUAACAAGUGAGUGGACCGUGAAUACACGACGUAAAGUAUCGCCGCCCGCGUGUCGCUACGGUCGCUCGGCCCCGUGUACGGUGUGGUGUGUGGUGUCAGGGGUCGUCGUACGGCGGCGGCGCGUCCCGCUACGGCGGCGAGUACCAGCAGCCCGCCGCGCAGCCGCCAGGUGACGACUAUGAGUACACUGGAGGCUCU
rnacentral:misc_RNA from 1 species